rnacentral:rRNA from 1 species
GCGGCGGACGGGUGAGUAAUGCCUAGGAAUCUGCCUGGUAGUGGGGGACAACGUUUCGAAAGGAACGCUAAUACCGCAUACGUCCUACGGGAGAAAGCAGGGGACCUUCGGGCCUUGCGCUAUCAGAUGAGCCUAGGUCGGAUUAGCUAGUAGGUGAGGUAAUGGCUCACCUAGGCGACGAUCCGUAACUGGUCUGAGAGGAUGAUCAGUCACACUGGAACUGAGACACGGUCCAGACUCCUACGGGAGGCAGCAGUGGGGAAUAUUGGACAAUG